rnacentral:rRNA from 1 species
UACGAAGGGGGCUAGCGUUGUUCGGAAUCACUGGGCGUAAAGCGCACGUAGGCGGAUCUUUAAGUCAGGGGUGAAAUCCCGAGGCUCAACCUCGGAACUGCCUUUGAUACUGGGGAUCUCGAGUCCGGGAGAGGUGAGUGGAACUGCGAGUGUAGAGGUGAAAUUCGUAGAUAUUCGCAAGAACACCAGUGGCGAAGGCGGACUCACUGGCCCGGAACUGACGCUGAGGUGCGAAAGCGUGGGGAGCAAACAGGGAUUAAGAAA